rnacentral:lncRNA from 1 species
UAAGUUUUAAUUUCUAACAAGCCUUUUCAAUUUAAAAGUGUACAAGUAAACACACAAAGGCUGUUAAUGAAGUAUUUAAAGCAUGGUUACUCAUACUAAACUCCUCACCCCUUUCUCCGAGUCAUGGUAGAAUAUGAACCUGGAAAUUAAGUUAGUGCACCUGCAGGAACCUUGAACAAGAAAGACAUAGAGCUAAGACUCCAUUCAUCCAACCAAGGCCUGGGGACCUGCACUUUUAGACAGCUAUCAGACUGAUGUAUCUUUACCAUGCCUAUCAGGACACCAGCCUCCUUCCCCAUCAUUAUACAUGAAUUUGCAUCCUCGGAAUCCUCAGCAUCACCAAGGAUAUCAGAUGCUGCCCUAUGCUCUACAGAUUAACCUUUACAAGGAACCAAUCUUGCUGGUGAUCUGGAGCAGCUAGAAGAUCUAGCCAGACCUAUGACUUCAGGAGCAGAAGAUGAUCCAACGCAGGAGAUGCUGUUCUUUAUAGACAGCUCUUCACAGACCUGUUGAAGAGUCAGCAGAAGAACCAGAUGAUCCUAAGUUCAGAGACGCUGAUCAUUGUGGAGCAGCUCUUUACAGACCUGAUGUGGAAUCAGCAGCAGAAUCAGAUAAUCCUGAAUCAGAUAAGUUCGGAGACCCUGCUCUUUGUAGAGCAGCUCUUUAGAGACCUGAUGUCAAAUCAGCAGCAAACCAAGAUAAGCCUGAUUCAGGAGACACUGCUCCUUAUAGAGCAGCUCUUCACAGACCUGUUGUAGAAGCAGCAGAAGCAGAAGAUGAUCUUGAAUUCCUGCUAUUUAUAGACAGCUCUUCACAGACCUGUCAUAAGUCCAGCAAAGGAAGCAGCUGAGAAAGCAUAAAAAGCAUCUCAGAUUGUAGGAGCAGCUAAAAUAGCAGAGACUCAAGGAGCAACUACAAAUGCAGUAAAAACAUCUCAGAUUGUAGGAGCAGCUAAAGUAGCAGAGACUCUGGGAGCAGCUCAAAUAGCAAAGAAAGACACCGAGAUUGCUGUAGAAGCAUUUCAGAUUGUAGGUGCAGCUAAAGUAGUGGAGACUCAGGUAGCAGCUAGGAUUACAGUAGAAGCUGCAAAUUAUCAGUAGUAAAUGAGGAGCUGUUGUUGAGAGAUUGCUAGGAGAUAUAUUUGAGUCUGAGGAAGCUGCUCAGAGAGAUCCUGAACUGGAGCAGCUGAAAAAGAUAUUUGAGGUUGAGGAUGCUCCUCACAGAGAUCCUGAAUCGGAGUAGCUUAAUAAGAUAUUUGAGUUCAAGGAAGCUGCUCUAAUAAAUCCUGAUCCGGAGCAGCUGAAUGAGAUAAUUGAGGUUGAGGAAGCUGUAGCAGCUGAACAAGGUAUUUAUUAUUAGUAAGCCUCAGUGACGACAUCUCUAUUAAUUAGUAAACAUGACAGAUAUUCAGAGAGAGAAAGAUUAUAAAGGGAUUUUAAGAGUACUUGGAUCCAAGGUGAAAGCUGCCCUUGGUAGAAGUAAAAAUAAAAAUAAAAAUUUGUCUGCAUUGUAUUGAUAUGAAAUGACAGCUCUAGUUGAAUACAACUUAAUGUUUAUCAACCAUCUUUUUUAAAUUUUUUAUUAUCUUCUACAUGCUAGAUCAAGUCAGUCUGGUUAAAUCUUGCUGGAAAAAUGAUGAGACUAUGGCAUUAAUGUUUCCUCAAUCACCUGUGACAAACCGGUUGUAAAUGUAUCCAUGCUGAAAAAGCUAGUUGUCAGCCUGAAUACUGACAACAUUAAUUCAGAAAUAGCAAACUCAAAUUGGCAACCCUGCUCCAAACAGACAUCUAGACAUUUGUCACAUGCUGAAGAAUGUCAGAAAUGUAUGGAAGAAAUGUUAUGAAAUUGUGGAUGCUGAGAGAGAUGUCAUUUCAUGGAAAUAUGUGGUUCUUCAGCUAGAUCUCCAAUCCAAUCAAACAUUUCACCUCUAAUGCUUUAAUACUACUUUUUUACUUAUGUAAAUAUGCAGAAACGCAGGUUUCAUAAUUCAAUUGAUAAACUUUUUCUCAGAAUUGUUUUUUUUCGGCGGCAGCCCUCCUUUCAACAUCUUUUGACAGGUGUGGUGUGGGGGAUAGAACCCUACUAGAUUCAAGUAAACGGUAAUUUACAAGGCAAAAUCAGGGACAAAUUUGUAAUGACGAUCUUCUUCAAACUAAAUUUGUUGGUUUCCUACUCAACAAGGCAUCAGUAGAAAAGAUAUUUUCGAACUACCUUGAGACUGGACCCUUAGAAUAUCUCCUGACAGUGACAUUCAAGUUAGAAAUUAAAGAACUUCAAGAUGAACUUCAAGAUGAACUUCAAGAUGAACUUCAAGAUGAACUUCAAGAUGAACUUCAAGAUGAACUUCAAGAUGAACUUCAAGAUGAAUUGGAAAGUUUUGAAACAAAAUUUCUGGGUCUUAAAAUUGAGUGAUAUUUGUGAAGAGAAAACUGCAAACAACUUUAAGAUGUGAACCUUCUCUAGAAGUGGUCAACUCGAAGCCAACCUCUUUCCAAGCAAAAAAUCUUAUUGAUCCGAAGGACAGGGGGGUCUUAUAUAUGCAACAUGCAUCAAUAUUCCAAGUGCAAUCAAGAGUUCUGAAAUCAGAACAUUUUCAAAACUAAGCUUGACAAUUGGUUGAACUACUGAAGGGCCAAUGAAGAUAGAAAAGGGAUGUUUUAAAUUAUUACACCUGUGAUAUAAAAACAUUAAUACACCAAUUAAACCAAUUAAAGAAUAUUACUAUA